rnacentral:tRNA from 1 species
AAAGAGUGUAGUUUAAUUGGCAAAAUAGGAAGCUUCAACC